rnacentral:rRNA from 1 species
GAGCCGUUUGAAGCAGGCCAGCCAGCAGCCGCCCCUGUUCCUCCUCUCACUCGGCUUUUCCCUCUCCUUCUCUCUCAAUUUUCACCAUUGACAACCCCCGCAGCACCCGGCCCGCCAUCUUCGGCCACCUCUUCGUCGGCCUCGUGCUCCUCCGCCUCGAUCCGUCCGCCGCGCCACCGGAUCCACGCCGGAGCAGCCGGAUCCGCGGCCUCCUGCCUCGUCUGCCGUCGGGAGAGCCGCCUCACGCAGGCCAACCGUCUACUCCUCUUCUCUGGGCUUUUCCCCCCUUCUCUCUCUNNNNNNNUCUCUCUCAUCUCCGUUUUCUCCAGGGAAGGAAGUGGCCAUGGAUCACAACCCGCAGCACCCCUGCUCUCGUUGCCGGAAACCUCUCUGUCGGCCUCGAGCUCCUCCGCCUCGAUCCGUUUGUACGACCCGCCGCCACCUCCUGCAUCGCCUGUCGUCUGGAGGAGGACGACCGAGAGUAGUGCCCGUUCGUCCGCCGCGUGGACUGGCUCAGCCCAGCUCGCCCGCUAA